rnacentral:rRNA from 1 species
CAGCAGCCGCGGUAAUACGUAGGUGGCAAGCGUUGUCCGGAAUUAUUGGGCGUAAAGGGCUCGCAGGCGGUUUCUUAAGUCUGAUGUGAAAGCCCCCGGCUCAACCGGGGAGGGUCAUUGGAAACUGGGAAACUUGAGUGCAGAAGGGGAGAGUGGAAUUCUACGUGUAGCGGUGAAAUGCGUAGAGAUGUGGAGGAACACCAGUGGCGAAGGCGACUCUCUGGUCUGUAACUGACGCUGAGGAGCGAAAGCGUGGGGAGCGAACAGGAUUAGAUACCCGCGUAGUCCCUGUCUCUUAUAC